GGGUUGUGAGGUUAAGCGACUAAGCGUACACGGUGGAUGCCCUGGCAGUCAGAGGCGAUGAAGGACGUGCUAAUCUGCGAUAAGCGUCGGUAAGGUGAUAUGAACCGUUAUAACCGGCGAUUUCCGAAUGGGGAAACCCAGUGUGAUUCGUCACACUAUCAUUAACUGAAUCCAUAGGUUAAUGAGGCGAACCGGGGGAACUGAAACAUCUAAGUACCCCGAGGAAAAGAAAUCAACCGAGAUUCCCCCAGUAGCGGCGAGCGAACGGGGAGCAGCCCAGAGCCUGAAUCAGUGUGUGUGUUAGUGGAAGCGUCUGGAAAGGCGUGCGAUACAGGGUGACAGCCCCGUACACAAAAAUGCACAUACUGUGAGCUCGAUGAGUAGGGCGGGACACGUGGUAUCCUGUCUGAAUAUGGGGGGACCAUCCUCCAAGGCUAAAUACUCCUGACUGACCGAUAGUGAACCAGUACCGUGAGGGAAAGGCGAAAAGAACCCCGGCGAGGGGAGUGAAAAAGAACCUGAAACCGUGUACGUACAAGCAGUGGGAGCACGCUUAGGCGUGUGACUGCGUACCUUUUGUAUAAUGGGUCAGCGACUUAUAUUCUGUAGCAAGGUUAACCGAAUAGGGGAGCCGAAGGGAAACCGAGUCUUAACUGGGCGUUAAGUUGCAGGGUAUAGACCCGAAACCCGGUGAUCUAGCCAUGGGCAGGUUGAAGGUUGGGUAACACUAACUGGAGGACCGAACCGACUAAUGUUGAAAAAUUAGCGGAUGACUUGUGGCUGGGGGUGAAAGGCCAAUCAAACCGGGAGAUAGCUGGUUCUCCCCGAAAGCUAUUUAGGUAGCGCCUCGUGAAUUCAUCUCCGGGGGUAGAGCACUGUUUCGGCAAGGGGGUCAUCCCGACUUACCAACCCGAUGCAAACUGCGAAUACCGGAGAAUGUUAUCACGGGAGACACACGGCGGGUGCUAACGUCCGUCGUGAAGAGGGAAACAACCCAGACCGCCAGCUAAGGUCCCAAAGUCAUGGUUAAGUGGGAAACGAUGUGGGAAGGCCCAGACAGCCAGGAUGUUGGCUUAGAAGCAGCCAUCAUUUAAAGAAAGCGUAAUAGCUCACUGGUCGAGUCGGCCUGCGCGGAAGAUGUAACGGGGCUAAACCAUGCACCGAAGCUGCGGCAGCGACGCUUAUGCGUUGUUGGGUAGGGGAGCGUUCUGUAAGCCUGUGAAGGUGUGCUGUGAGGUAUGCUGGAGGUAUCAGAAGUGCGAAUGCUGACAUAAGUAACGAUAAAGCGGGUGAAAAGCCCGCUCGCCGGAAGACCAAGG
rnacentral:rRNA from 1 species